CAAAUUUUAAAGCUAUUUCUCUCUCCCCGACAAAUUUAACCCUUUGAAAAAUUUUCUCUUCCACAUCUGAGAAACCCUAUCUAUCUUGCUCUCCCUUAGGCACAAAAGAACCCAGCUCAACACAAAUUUCUUGGCAGAUCUCCCCCAUUAAACUCUCCUCCAAUCAAAACUGAAAACUCAAUCUCCCCCAUCUCUCUUCGACAAACAUAGAACCCAUCUCAAUCACUUUUUCAAACCAUACAGCCAAACCAUCUCAAUCCCUCUCACGAGUUCUUGUUGGUGUUGAGAAGAUUUCAACGCUUUCAAUCCGUAUUGUUUCACUAUUGUUGGGUAAGGCCUUCGAUUCACUGUUAAUCAAUUUAUUUAGAGUUUCUUUUGGAUUGGGUUUUAGGGUUUUAAUUGAAAUAUCUAUUCAAAUUUGAUUUGUGUUUGCUGGGUUAUAUUCGAAUUGGGGAUACAAGGUUAUCUUUUGUCUGGGUUAUGUUCAAAUUUUCUUUUCGAAGGUACGAUUCGUCUUUGAAAUCGGUGAAGGAGCUUAACCAACCCCCUGGAUUCGAAUUGCGGGGUGUUCGUGAAUCGAAGAAGGAGAUGAUAGGCUUAAUCUAAAGUAACCCGUGGAGUCUUGGAAUUAAUAAUUCUUUUCUCAAGAGGCAGUGUAAGUUGGAGUAUUACUAGGGUCUGCUGUGGCUGUAAUUGAAUGAGUGAAAGUGAGAAAAAUAAGAGUCAGUUUAAUCACGAUAUGGUAUUUCCCAAGGCCAGAAGCCCCAUAAUAUCUAUUAUUUCUUCCUUAUAAAUUUACUACUCAAGCUUCUAGGGCUCUACAUACAUUAUCACUAAUCUUUUGUGUUGUACUUUCAAAAUCAAUGUUGCUCAGAUCUUCUAGAUUACUGAUGAUAUUUAACUUGGAUUGGAAGGACAGGUUGUCCCUUUCUACAUGAAAUAUAUGUAUGAUAAUACUCCUUUUUAUUAUUCAUAUUAUUAGUUACUUUUUGACGUUACUGUUAUAUAUUCUCCAUAAUACAGUCUGGUUUCUGCUACAGGUGGAAGGAUGGGUUCCUACUAUAAGGAGCAUAGAAUUCUUCCCCACUUCCAGAACUCAGCUUGCUGUAUAUCUAUUCAAUAUAACUUUGCAAUGAGGCUUGGUGGCUUUGGGAUAAGGAUGGUUUUAUGUUAUCUACUUUCAACUCCAUCAGCUUUUUGUUUGAAGCUAGUACGUAUCUAGUCCUCACACUACUUUCAACCCCAGCCAUUUUUCUUUCUUUUAUUGUGCCUUGUAUCAGCCUCUUCAAGAACUAGAGAAGAUGACCAAUAUUAUUCUUCAAGCUCUGAAAAUUACUGGACAAAGAGGCAUUAUCAACAAAGGCAGGGGUUGGUAAUUCAGUACAAUCAAAUGAUUCUGUGUACUUAGUGGACAAUUGCCCCCAUGAUGACUCUUCCUCGGAUGCUCUGUUGUGGUCAGGAACGUUACCAUCGCCUGGCUCCCAUGUAUUACCGCGGUGCAACUGCAGCUGUUGGUCUAUGAUAUCACAAGCAUGGAGUCAUUUGUUUUUAGCGAGCUAAGAAGUGGGUUUUUGAAUUGCAAAGACAAGCAAAUCCAACUUUAAUAAUGUUCUUGAUUGGAAACAAGGCCGAGUUGGAAGAGAAGAGAAAAGUAGGGACUGAGAAAAGUAGUCCUCACUUAGGAAGCAGAGAUCUAUCAGGGCAGAAAUGGUUAGGAAGUAGAGACGAUACGUAGUCUGCAGAAGGCAAGCAGAAAACAAGUAGUGAAGUCUUUGACCAUUGCGCAAUAGAUACACUGCUGAUUUCUCAUGGGACAAGUACACUCUUCAUGAAGGACCUUUUGAGGAGGUCGGAGCAACGUGUUGAAACUUUUAUCAAUGAGGGUAGAUUAGUUUAUGCUGCUGUGAACAAACUGUAUUUCAUGGUUUGAGUAUGACUUUCAUCAUUGGGAUAUAUGAUAAUACAUUGGAAGUUAUAUGUCUUUUUAAAUAAUAUCAAACAAUAGAAAGUU